rfam:Ovis aries breed Texel chromosome 3, whole genome shotgun sequence.
UCCCUGGUGGCUCAGUUUGUAAAGCAUCUGCCUGCCAUGCAGGAGACCGGGUUAGAUUCCUGGGUCGGGAA